rnacentral:rRNA from 1 species
CCCUUAGAGUUUGAUCCUGGCUCAGAACGAACGCUGGCGGCAGGCUUAACACAUGCAAGUCGAGCGCCCCGCAAGGGGAGCGGCAGACGGGUGAGUAACGCGUGGGAAUCUACCCAUCUCUACGGAACAACUCCGGGAAACUGGAGCUAAUACCGUAUACGUCCUUCGGGAGAAAGAUUUAUCGGAGGUGGAUGAGCCCGCGUUGGAUUAGCUAGUUGGUGGGGUAAUGGCCUACCAAGGCGACGAUCCAUAGCUGGUCUGAGAGGAUGAUCAGCCACACUGGGACUGAGACACGGCCCAGACUCCUACGGGAGGCAGCAGUGGGGAAUAUUGGACAAUGGGCGAAAGCCUGAUCCAGCCAUGCCGCGUGAGUGAUGAAGGCCCUAGGGUUGUAAAGCUCUUUCACCGGUGAAGAUAAUGACGGUAACCGGAGAAGAAGCCCCGGCUAACUUCGUGCCAGCAGCCGCGGUAAUACGAAGGGGGCUAGCGUUGUUCGGAAUUACUGGGCGUAAAGCGCACGUAGGCGGACAUUUAAGUCAGGGGUGAAAUCCCGGGGCUCAACCCCGGAACUGCCUUUGAUACUGGGUGUCUCGAGUCCGGAAGAGGUGAGUGGAAUUCCGAGUGUAGAGGUGAAAUUCGUAGAUAUUCGGAGGAACACCAGUGGCGAAGGCGGCUCACUGGUCCGGUACUGACGCUGAGGUGCGAAAGCGUGGGGAGCAAACAGAUUAGAUACCCUGGUAGUCCACGCCGUAAACUAUGGAAGCUAGCCGUCGCAGUUUACUUGUCGUGGCGCAGCUACGCGUUAAGCUUCCCGCCUGGGGAGUACGUCGCAGAUUAAACUCAAAGAAUGACGGGGCCGCACAG